AAAGUACCCCCUCCGUCCGAAAAAACUUGUCCCAAACUUGUCUCUUAAAUGGAUUUAUCUAGCACUAACUUGAUGCUAGAUACAUCCAUUUGAGGGACAAGCUUUUUCGGACAAAGGGAGUACAAU
rfam:Triticum urartu cultivar G1812 contig370543, whole genome shotgun sequence.